rnacentral:lncRNA from 1 species
CCAGGGCCCCACCAGCCCAGUUCCCCACCUGGAGAUGCCCCCUCACCAGGGACAAAGAAAGGCCUGAUGUUCUCGGGAGGUCCCACAGGAAGUCACCUAAAAGAUUUAUGCAAAGAGAAGAGACUUCUGUAAUAUUUCAGGGGAGAAAUUCAGGAGACUUGGUCUAGAAUGAUGGCCACAGAGAGAGAGAGAGAGAGAG